rnacentral:rRNA from 1 species
GACGAACGCUGGCGGCGUGCUUAACACAUGCAAGUCGAACGGAAAGGCCCUGCUUUUGUGGGGUGCUCGAGUGGCGAACGGGUGAGUAACACGUGAGUAACCUGCCCUUGACUUUGGGAUAACUUCAGGAAACUGGGGCUAAUACCGGAUAGGAGCUCCUGCUGCAUGGUGGGGGUUGGAAAGUUUCGGCGGUUGGGGAUGGACUCGCGGCUUAUCAGCUUGUUGGUGGGGUAGUGGCUUACCAAGGCUUUGACGGGUAGCCGGCCUGAGAGGGUGACCGGCCACAUUGGGACUGAGAUACGGCCCAGACUCCUACGGGAGGCAGCAGUGGGGAAUAUUGCACAAUGGGCGGAAGCCUGAUGCAACAACGCCGCGUGCGGGAUGACGGCCUUCGGGUUGUAAACCGCUUUCGCCUGUGACGAAGCGUGAGUGACGGUAAUGGGUAAAGAAGCACCGGCUAACUACGUGCCAGCAGCCGCGGUGAUACGUAGGGUGCGAGCGUUGUCCGGAUUUAUUGGGCGUAAAGGGCUCGUAGGUGGUUGAUCGCGUCGGAAGUGUAAUCUUGGGGCUUAACCCUGAGCGUGCUUUCGAUACGGGUUGACUUGAGGAAGGUAGGGGAGAAUGGAAUUCCUGGUGGAGCGGUGGAAUGCGCAGAUAUCAGGAGGAACACCAGUGGCGAAGGCGGUUCUCUGGGCCUUUCCUGACGCUGAGGAGCGAAAGCGUGGGGAGCGAACAGGCUUAGAUACCCUGGUAGUCCACGCUGUAAACGGUGGGUACUAGGUGUGGGGUCCAUUCCACGGGUUCCGUGCCGUAGCUAACGCUUUAAGUACCCCGCCUGGGGAGUACGGCCGCAAGGCUAAAACUCAAAGGAAUUGACGGGGCCCCGCACAAGCGGCGGAGCAUGCGGAUUAAUUCGAUGCAACGCGUAGAACCUUACCUGGGUUUGACAUGGAUCGGGAGUGCUCAGAGAUGGGUGUGCCUCUUUUGGGGUCGGUUCACAGGUGGUGCAUGCCUGUCGUCAGCUCGUGUCGUGAGAUGUUGGGUUAAGUCCCGCAACGAGCGCAACCCUUGUUCACUGUUGCCAGCACGUUAUGGUGGGGACUCAGUGGAGACCGCCGGGGUCAACUCGGAGGAAGGUGGGGAUGACGUCAAGUCCUCAUGCCCCUUAUGUCCAGGGCUUCACGCAUGCUACAAUGGCUGGUACAGAGAGUGGCGAGCCUGUGAGGGUGAGCGAAUCUCGGAAAGCCGGUCUCAGUUCGGAUUGGGGUCUGCAACUCGACCUCAUGAAGUCGGAGUCGCUAGUAAUCGCAGAUCAGCAACGCUGCGGUGAAUACGUUCCCGGG